rnacentral:rRNA from 1 species
UUUAAGCUUCCUACGGGAGGCUGCAGUGGGGAAUCUUGCGCAAUGGGCGAAAGCCUGACGCAGCCAUGCCGCGUGAAUGAUGAAGGUCUUAGGAUUGUAAAAUUCUUUCACCGGGGACGAUAAUGACGGUACCCGGAGAAGAAGCCCCGGCUAACUUCGUGCCAGCAGCCGCGGUAAUACGAAGGGGGCUAGCGUUGCUCGGAAUUACUGGGCGUAAAGGGAGCGUAGGCGGACAUUUAAGUCAGGGGUGAAAUCCCGGGGCUCAACCUCGGAAUUGCCUUUGAUACUGGGUGUCUUGAGUAUGAGAGAGGUGUGUGGAACUCCGAGUGUAGAGGUGAAAUUCGUAGAUAUUCGGAAGAACACCAGUGGCGAAGGCGACACACUGGCUCAUUACUGACGCUGAGGCUCGAAAGCGUGGGGAGCAAACAGGAUUAGAUACCCUUGUAGUCGAAUUCUU